GACGAACGCUGGCGGCGUGCUUAACACAUGCAAGUCGAACGGACAGACCCUGCUUUUGCGGGUUGCUCGAGUGGCGCACGGGUGAGUAACACGCGUGUAACCUGCCCUUGACUUUCGGAUAACUUCAGGAAACUCGGGCUCAUACCGGAUAUGAGCUCCUGCUGCAUGGUGGGCGUUGGAAAGUUUCGGCUGUUGGGGAUGGACUCGCGGCUUAUCCGCUUGUUGGUGGGGUAGUGGCUUACCAAGGCUUUGACGGGUAGCCGGCCUGAGAGGGUGACCGGCCACAUGGGGACUGAGGGAGGGCGCAGACGCGUACGGGAGGCAGUAGUGGAGAAUAUUGCACAAUGGGCGGAAGCGUGAGGCAGCAACGCUGCGUGCGGGAUGACGGGCUUCGGGGUGUAAACCGAUGUCGCCUGUGACGAGGAGUGAGUGACGGUAAUGGGUAAAGAAGCACCGGCUAACUACGUG
rnacentral:rRNA from 1 species